UAAGUUUCCAAUUGGAUUCAGUGCAAAGGUGUUUGUGCUAACCUAAAUCUUAUUUCCUUAACCUAAUGUCAUUGGGUUUGAACCUAUAUUUAAAUAGGUUGCUAAUUUGGAUUUUAUGAAAGUGUUCCAUGUGUGAUCCAUCUCCUCCACACCAAAAGCCAUGCAUAAAUUAAUUGUCAUGCCCAAAAUAAAUGGCGAUGAGAAGGAACAGUCCUUCUCAUCUACUCCUUUUAAUUUUAUCACAAAGUUCCACACGUCCCUUAUUUUUGUGCACCAUCUGAUGGUGCUAUGGCAUGUGU
rnacentral:lncRNA from 1 species